GGUGCAUUAGCUAGUUGGUAAGGGUAACGGGCUUACCAAGGCGAUGAUGCAUAGCCCGAGUUGAGAGACUGAUCGGGCCACAUUGGGACUGAGACACGGGCCCAAACUCCUACGGGAGGCAGCAGUAGGGGAAUCUUCCACAAUGGACGAAAGUCUGAUGGAGCAAACGCCGCGUGAGUGAAGAAGGUUUUCGGAUCGUAAAAAGCUCUGUUGUUGGUGAAGAAGGAUAGAGGUAGUAACUGGCCCUUUAUUUGACGGUAAUCAACCCAGAAGGGUCACGGGCUAACUACGUGCCCAGCAGCCGCGGUAAAU
rnacentral:rRNA from 1 species